GACCAAUUAUUAAGCAGGUGAAACCUGCUAUGGUAUGACAUGCAAUAUCAAAAACUUUAAAAUGCUAUCUGAUAUCACUUACUACUGAUGAAGAAUGAGGAAUUGCAGCAUCAGACCACACCAAUUAAAAAGAUGAGAAGUUAAACUUCCCAACCUGACAAUGAGGACAACACUGUCUCCAAGGAGCUCUUUAAGAAAACCUUAUCAUUGAGCUCUAUUCUAGACCAUUGGAAUUGGACACUUACAUGGUGGUGGUUUUUUGUGAUAUAUAAUAUUGGUUGUGAUACACAUCAAAGUUUGACAACUACUGAUAAUGAGGAAAAACUAUUUCAAAGAUAAAAAUGCCCACUCUUGGAUGACAAACCCCAUAUGGUGAUGACAAUGAAAACGGAUCAUCUAAAGAUAUCUCACCACCAUACUGCUUACAACCCUCAGGAAAGACUGAAAAGGCAGAAAAGCUGUAUCCAACAAAUAGGGGAAAGUGG